rnacentral:sRNA from 1 species
UGCACGCAUGACACUGCCUCCUGCUCUGUGGACCCGCAUGGAUCUGGGGAUGGGGGCUCCCCUUGCACUACCAUGACCAAGCCUCUGCCAGGUUCUGGGCUUUGGAGAGGAAGAAGACUUAGUCCCCAGGGUCGUGAGACCACAAUGAGGCAAGAGUCCCUGCCCGAGAGGAGGGAAGGGGGAGGAAGAAAGGGCAGUGAUGGUGGCGGGAGCCUCCGGUAAGAUGUGGCCUUUUCUCCCCUUCCCGAGGCCUGCGGCGUAGACUUUGAGAUUCGAGCCUUCUGUGCUAAAUCACUAGAAGAGAAAAGCCACAAAAGGAACUCCGUGCGGCUGGUGAUCCGAAAGGUGCAGUUCGCCCCAGAGAAACCCGGCCCCCAGCCUUCAGCCGAAACCACACGCCACUUCCUCAUGUCUGACCGGUCCCUGCACCUCGAGGCUUCCCUGGACAAGGAGGUGGGGCGUGAGAGGGUGACACGGAUGCCACGGUGCAGUUUAGACCCUGGGGGAGGGGCGAAGCCACACAUCAAGAUGACAUUUGUAAAGGAGGUUGCUUUGGCUGGGUGUGGACAGUUGCCGUGG